GUGCUCGCUUUGGCAGCACAUGUACUAAAAUUGGAGCAAUACAGAGAAGAUUAGCAGGGCCCCUGAGCAAGGAUGAAAUGCAAAUUCAUGAAGUGUUCCAUAUUUUU
rnacentral:snRNA from 1 species